AUGCUCCUACUUUCCGUAUGGAGUAGGGAGCGCUUGCUGGUCGGAUGCUCGAAGUGCAUAACACACAAACCUUGGGACGACAAAGGUGACAAACUACGGCUCCCCACUUGGGCUUACAAGUGGGAUAUGGUAUCCGAGAUGAUGAGUGAUGUCACUCUCAUGUACAAGCAGUACAUCAACGAGUUGGACACUCUUACGUCUGAGCAGGUACACAUCGACAUUACAUCGCUCAUUGUCAUCCUUUCAUGA
rnacentral:rRNA from 1 species